rnacentral:rRNA from 1 species
GAUGAACGCUGGCGGCGUGCCUAAUACAUGCAAGUCGAGCGAACGGACGAGAAGCUUGCUUCUCUGAUGUUAGCGGCGGACGGGUGAGUAACACGUGGAUAACCUACCUAUAAGACUGGGAUAACUUCGGGAAACCGGAGCUAAUACCGGAUGAUAUUUUGAACCGCAUGGUUCAAAAGUGAAAGACGGUCUUGCUGUCACUUAUAGAUGGAUCCGCGCUGCAUUAGCUAGUUGGUAAGGUAACGGCUUACCAAGGCAACGAUGCAUAGCCGACCUGAGAGGGUGAUCGGCCACAAUGGAAAUGAGACACGGUCCAGACUCCUACGGGAGGCAGCAGUAGGGAAUCUUCCGCAAUGGGCGAAAGCCUGACGGAGCAACGCCGCGUGAGUGAUGAAGGUCUUCGGAUCGUAAAACUCUGUUAUUAGGGAAGAACAUAUGUGUAAGUAACUGUGCACAUCUUGACGGUACCUAAUCAGAAAGCCACGGCUAACUACGUG